AGCAAUUUUGGAGACACCUGUCUGGCAAGCGAGCACUGCAGAAGAGCUCGACCGCACCGGAGGUUGUCUGCGGAUGAGUCCUCCACGCGGGCCACAAAAGCGCCCAGAACGCCGGGUUCAGAGACCUGCGGGCAGAAGGACGGCGGCGGACAGCACAGGACCCACGGAAGAGAAUAAAAAGCAGCUGUUUUGCAGAGUACUGUGUAAUGCAGCAUCUCCCUGCAAGCCUGUUAUCUUUGCCACAAUGAAAUCAACUCACUGAGCUGCUUCAUCACAAUGCUGAGGGAGUAAAUCCUUCUGGCAACACAGUUAGAUAUCCACAGAGCACCUACUAUGUGCCAGGGAUGAUGGCACAUGAUGGCAACACAGCAGUGUGGAGAGAAGAUGGAAUUCCAGCCCUCACGGAACUUAACAUAACAAGCAAGAAACAAGUGCAUUAAAAAUCUCAGACUGCCACGGUGACACCAGAGAGAAAUGAGGCCACCCAGACAACUUAAUGAAUUCCACCAGGCUCCAUCCCUUUCUGUCACCCGUCGCCCCAGUGUUCUGGUAAUACUGACAGCCCGGGCAUCAUCGAGCUCUUCCUCUGGCCAGCUCCCAUGUCCAACGUGCCACAGGCAACCUGUGUGUAAGCCUUCAGCAACUACGGUAGUUAAGUGGCUGAGCUGAGACUGGACCCAAGUCUACCGAUUCUAAAGCCCGAGCACCUGCACCUGGCCAUCCCUGGUCAGUUACUGCAGGAAACCUCUGUUUCCAGGGCCGCAUCUGCUGAAGAUACUUAGGGAAAAGGAAGGAGGUUUCUGGAACCCUGUGGCACCAAAGAGCACUAGCAUUAUUGCUAGAGGGACCUCCGUUUCAGUCUCAGCUCUGCAUUUACUUGU